rnacentral:lncRNA from 1 species
GAGAGAGAAUGACACGUUGGAAUUCCAACGUUCCCAACAUUAAUUCCACUUAAUUCAUGCCUUUAUGUGGAAUUAAAAAGAAAUAAAUCAAAUUUAAUUCAUCAAAUUAAUUAACAUAAUAAAUGAGAGUAAUUAUAAAAUUUAAUGAUAUUUAGAGAUUUUGGAUUUUUUUUAACAAAUUUAACUAGAAAUAUAAAGUAAUUUUGAACUUAAUUAGGACAUUAAAUACCAAUCAUCAAAUUCUUAGUCAACUGUGCCAGAUAUGAUUGGUAAUUUAAUUAUUUUGUUCUAUUGUAUAUUUUUGCAAAGAGUAUCUAAAAAAACUCUUCUAAAAAAAUUAGACUACUACUCACAUAAGCCCUCCCUAUUGAAAAACUUUUCUUAGAAUUUUAUACUCAAAACACUGCUUUUAUAAAUUGCCAAUUUGCAUAAAAAAUCCUCUAGUUUUGCGCUUUUGCAAAAGUAGGCCACAUUUUUCGUUUUUACAGAUUCGGUCCGAUUUUUCAGCCGCCAGAUCGAAAUGCCCCUCGUAUACAAACGCCUUCUGCGUAUUCCUUGAGAUACGUAUACCCUGUCGUACGAUCCUGGCGGGCAAUAAAUGCACCCCUUGCGCUUUACGCAACCUUGCCCUCCUCGGAACCAGAACCAAAGCGGCCCUACUCUUCGCCGGCCCCGCUGUUUGCUGUUCGACUUUAAGAAAUUAAAUAAGCUGAAACUAAAUGACAAAGACUGCGCGCCUCGCAACAGGUAUAAUAGUGCUACCCAACGGAGCAACGGG